AUUGAACGCUGGCGGCAUGCUUUACACAUGCAAGUCGAACGGUAACAGGCCUUCGGGUGCUGACGAGUGGCGAACGGGUGAGUAAUGCAUCGGAACGUACCCAGAGGUGGGGGAUAACGCAGCGAAAGCUGUGCUAAUACCGCAUGUGAUCUGAGGAUGAAAGCGGGGGACCGAGCAGCAAUGUUUGGCCUCGCGCCUUUGGAGCGGCCGAUGUCGGAUUAGCUAGUUGGUGGGGUAAAGGCCUACCAAGGCGACGAUCCGUAGCUGGUCUGAGAGGACGACCAGCCACACUGGGACUGAGACACGGCCCAGACUCCUAUGGGAGGCAGCAGUGGGGAAUUUUGGACAAUGGGCGCAAGCCUGAUCCAGCAAUGCCGCGAGCGGGAAGAAGGCCUUCGGGUUGUAAACCGCUUUUGGCAGGAACGAAACGGUGUCCGCUAAUACCGGGCGCUAAUGACGGUACCUGCAGAAUAAGCACCGGCUAACUACGUG
rnacentral:rRNA from 1 species